ACUACAUACUAAAAGUUUUUUCAAAACAUGUUUGAUAUGCUCAAAACCCUUCUGAAGAAGAACGGGAUAGAUCCCAUCUUCCCCUGGAGAUUUGUAAGGAGCAAAACUUCGUCGAUUCAAACAUAUUUCAAACGUCGAUUUGUCAAUUCUGGUAGCACCCCCACGCAAGUCAACAGCAUCAACAUGUAGGUGAAUUGUUAAAAUAGACACUUGGCAUGCAAAAGAAGGAUCGAGAUUCUGACCCCUGCAGGCUUGGAGAUACUCAGCCUCAGCCAUUUCGUUUGCGAAGCGGUCGGUGAAUAGAACGAAUCGAUAGUAGUGUCACAGUUUUUAAGAAUGUGAUGAGAAAUGAUGACAAAGUUUUGUAUUUUUUCAAUAGUUUUUGUUUUUCUCGUACACCAAGGUGCAGGGCUUGCAGAAUUCGCUCUCAAUAGAUAACAAACAACGAUAAAAGAGAGGCAAAAACUGUUCCGAAUCAUAACAAGCCAUGAUAACAAAUUUAUCAAACUUGUGUACAAGUGCGAAAAAACAAAAUCGGAUAGGCAGCCCCCACAGAAAAAUGGUGAUUUUCGCUUUGUUUUCGCUCAUUUCGUGUUGGAUACUGCACAGCUGUGUAAAACAAGUUGAAAUGCAUCAUCAGAGCCAGUGCUCCCCGCAUUUGGAGCUUUCUAAAAGAAAUUUAUCAUGGGGUAGAGCCUCCCGAAUCAGUUCUCUAUCAUGACAGCUUGCGAAAAAAGUCUAUGGCGGUAUGCUACAUAUCGUAUAUGUACAUAUACAGAGAUGAUGGGGAUGGGGCCCACCUUAGUCGUGCGAUAAGACGCACGGCUACAAAGCAAGACCAUGCUGAGGGUGGCUGGGUUCGAUUCCCGGUGCCGGUCUAGUCAAUUUUCGGAUUGGAAAUUAUCUCGACUUCCCUGGGCAUAAAAGUAUCAUCGUGUUAGCCUCAUGAUACACGAAUGCAAAAAUGGUAACCUGGCUUAGAAACGUCGCAGUUAAUAACUGUGGAAGUGCUUAAUGAACACUACACGCUUACUUCAAUUAACCUAUUUAUGAGUACUUGAUUCACCCAUAUUUGGGUAUUGCACAUUUCACUCAUAUUAUGAGUAAAAUAUACUGAUAAAAUCGGUAAAUUUCACCCAUAUUGCUGAUAAAGCGACUUUACCAAUUUAUGAGUGAAUGAAUUUACUCAUAUUUGGGUGAAAAAAUAUGACUUUGUUGUUUUUGUUGUCAAACUGCCAUCACCCGAGUUUUCGAGAUCCAGAAACUGUUCCGUUCCGGCGGUUUGUGAACCUAUCCAGCUGCAGUGGAGAGUUUACACCUGUUGUGAAAGCUACACAUCCUGUUAACAGAACCAUAAUCCGCCGAAACCAGACGACAUUCAACUCACGAGUAUUCAAACAGAUAUGGUUCCCUGAUUAGCAUGCCAGCCAAGAUGCCAGCGGCCCACCCAUCAGCAAUCGCACCAUGUCAAAACGGACGGAAACGGCCAUAGAAGCAGAUUCCACCCACAUCUCGAGCUAGUGCUUGCGAUCUUCGCGGAUCGUGCCAUUUUAUCUAUGUACUUCGACACCAUCCAACGAGUCUGGCGAUGACUAAAACUGCAGACACCGCAUACGACGAUGACAACGGAGGUGGAAAUUGUGCAGCUAGAAAUGAUGGUCGCAAUUGUAUUGCUAAUGGACCUGGUGGUGGAACCGCUGAUACCGGAUCGAGUGGAAGCGGUCGAAUGGAAGGACAUCAUUUAGGAGAGUAAAUCGUUGAAUAUGGGAUUCAAUAUGCCAGCUUCCCCAAGUGCCAACACCGCGGCUCCGGUAGCUUGAUCUUCGGAGGAGGGCUGCUAAGCACUGGACGAAACAUCGUAGGAUGUGUACUGCUGACCAGAUAUGGAUGCACCGAAAAGUAAGAAGAGUGAAAAAUAUUCGCGAUAGCGCAUUCGAGGCCCACCGAGAUCUUAAAGAUAUGGAUUCCUGAUUCGCACGAGGAAACAGUUUCCAAUUUGAUAAAUGCAAUGAUCAUUAUCAUCUAUCUCAUCACAAGCGUCGUCGAGACGAGAAUGGGCUUCCUUAAACUUCUAUAUCCGCCAAUACAGCAACCGGUAAUCUGACAUACUGCUACUCUUUAAGGCAUGAAUCCUGCUUUUACCAGUCCAACAGUAAUCAGUCGCUCCGGUAUGGUUUCAGUAAGUUUUU